CUUCUCGGACAUUUUUCAGUCCCGUUCGAACUGCUUUGUAGAGAUAGAUGUAUAAUAUUCUAGAAACAAACUACGCUUCACCCGCCCAGUCAUCGUAGGAAUAUUCUACUGUACUGUUUACUACCACAGCAGUCAGCAGGGGAUUCUUUUCUCGUAGGUUGGUCCAAAUAGGGAAUUUGUCCCCAAAACAACCACGCCUUGAGGCUGUUGGAGACAUGGAGCGACAUUCUCAUAGACCGAGCACCUCAGACUUCAGUGGAAGAACCAUCAUGUAUUGAUUGUAGUGGGGAUAGAAUCUGUUGAUUUGACUGUACCUGUCGUUGUCAGUAGUCGUCAUUGCUGGAACAGCUACCACAAGCGUGUUGAAACACCGUGACCUUGUUUAUGUAAACCGACGGAGGUUUUGUUUUUUUGUUUUUGGUUUUAUUCGCCCUGUCAUCUGGACGGCACGGCGUAUCACUUCGACUUCGACGCUUCGUCCGCGGAGUUUUUGGAUGUUUCAGCAUCUCUGCCAAUACUUACAAGUAGCGGUCACUUGUUGAGUGCAGCAGCUUGAACUGAGUAGAGCCCGUUGGGUUGGAGCAGAUCUACGACACAGCCACACACGACUCCCUGCCUGUAGGAAUUGAAGGUCGGCGGAGAGGAGGAGUGCUGUGUGUGUGUUCUGUUUUUGUCCACUCCGGACUGGGGAAUUAUUUUCAUUCAAGAAAACUGGAAACGUGAAAGUUGUGUUGUUGUUGGUUGUUUGAAAGGAGAGUCAUUUCACUGACUGACAUUUUCAGUUUGGUGGAGCGACAAAUUCAUGAAAGAGAUCCCAAUACAUUGAUGCGGAAGUGAAAGAAAAGAGACAGUGUUUUAUGUCGGAGAGAUUUAAAGAGACAGUGUUUUAUUAUAGUAGGACUUGUGUGGGGUUUUUUGGCUUCGUCUGAGCUUUUCUCAGAAAAAGGACCAUCUGUGUUUGGCGAGUCCUGUGUUGACCACAAAGACUGCACCAUGGACUGGACAAUGAUCGACCCGAUCGGCACCUUCUUCUGUCUGGGUGACAUCGUCGAUGGCGUCUUUGUGCCGGCCGAUGAUUGUGACGGUGAGUAGUGACGUGUGUGUGUGUUUGUGUGGUUUGUGUGUGUGUGUGUGUGUGUUUGUGUGGUUUGUGUGUGUGUGUAUGUGUCGUGCGUGUAUGUGUGGAAGAGGGGACUUGGGACAUCCUCAUCUGGGUGGUUGGUGGGUGCUGCUCUCGUGUUCAUUCCUUCUUUCCUCGAUCCUACCUAACAUUUGUCGUCCUCUCUCUUCCUUCUUUUCCUUUGAUACGUUACACUCUAGUAGUAGCACUUGCAUCUUCCGUCUUUGCAAUGGUGCUCAUAUGACCUUAUGCAGUUGCGAGCGCUGUAAAACCUCUACUAAAAAAAAA